AUGAACGCUAGCUACAGGCUUAACACAUGCAAGUCGAGGGGCAGCAUGAACUUAGCUUGCUAAGUUUGAUGGCGACCGGCGCACGGGUGAGUAACACGUAUCCAACCUGCCGAUGACUCGGGGAUAGCCUUUCGAAAGAAAGAUUAAUACCCGAUGGCAUAGUUCUUCCGCAUGGUAGAACUAUUAAAGAAUUUCGGUCAUCGAUGGGGAUGCGUUCCAUUAGGUUGUUGGCGGGGUAACGGCCCACCAAGCCUUCGAUGGAUAGGGGUUCUGAGAGGAAGGUCCCCCACAUUGGAACUGAGACACGGUCCAAACUCCUACGGGAGGCAGCAGUGAGGAAUAUUGGUCAAUGGACGAGAGUCUGAACCAGCCAAGUAGCGUGAAGGAUGACUGCCCUAUGGGUUGUAAACUUCUUUUAUACGGGAAUAAAGUGAGGCACGUGUGCCUUUUUGUAUGUACCGUAUGAAUAAGGAUCGGCUAACUCCGUGCCAGCAGCCGCGGUAAUACGGAGGAUCCGAGCGUUAUCCGGAUUUAUUGGGUUUAAAGGGAGCGUAGGCGGACGCUUAAGUCAGUUGUGAAAGUUUGCGGCUCAACCGUAAAAUUGCAGUUGAUACUGGGUGUCUUGAGUACAGUAGAGGCAGGCGGAAUUCGUGGUGUAGCGGUGAAAUGCUUAGAUAUCACGAAGAACUCCGAUUGCGAAGGCAGCCUGCUGGACUGUAACUGACGCUGAUGCUCGAAAGUGUGGGUAUCAAACAGGAUUAGAUACCCUGGUAGUCCACACAGUAAACGAUGAAUACUCGCUGUUUGCGAUAUACAGUAAGCGGCCAAGCGAAAGCGUUAAGUAUUCCACCUGGGGAGUACGCCGGCAACGGUGAAACUCAAAGGAAUUGACGGGGGCCCGCACAAGCGGAGGAACAUGUGGUUUAAUUCGAUGAUACGCGAGGAACCUUACCCGGGCUUGAAAGUUAGCGACGAUUCUUGAAAGAGGAUUUCCCUUCGGGGCGCGAAACUAGGUGCUGCAUGGUUGUCGUCAGCUCGUGCCGUGAGGUGUCGGCUUAAGUGCCAUAACGAGCGCAACCCUUAUCGAUAGUUACCAUCAGGUGAUGCUGGGGACUCUGUCGAGACUGCCGUCGUAAGAUGUGAGGAAGGUGGGGAUGACGUCAAAUCAGCACGGCCCUUACGUCCGGGGCUACACACGUGUUACAAUGGGGGGUACAGAAGGCAGCUACACGGCGACGUGAUGCUAAUCCCUAAAGCCUCUCUCAGUUCGGAUUGGAGUCUGCAACCCGACUCCAUGAAGCUGGAUUCGCUAGUAAUCGCGCAUCAGCCACGGCGCGGUGAAUACGUUCCCGGGCCUUGUACACACCGCCCGUCAAGCCAUGAAAGCCGGGGGUACCUGAAGUGCGUAACCGCAAGGAGCGCCCUAGGGUAAAACUGGUGAUUGGGGCU
rnacentral:rRNA from 1 species